CGGCGCGGGCGCCGGAGCGGCUGGAUGUGGCAGUGCUGGGCUGCGGGGCUGGCGGCGAUGUUCCUGGUGGCUGUUAGCAGAGCUCAGGUGCAGCAGGAGCCGAUGACAGAGACCAGCGAGGGCACCGGCGUCAACAUCACCUGCUCACUCCCUGAAACACAGUACAACCAAGUCAUCCAGUGGUACCGUCAGCUCCCAGGCAGAGGACCCACAUUCCUCGUCAGCGCCGUUAAAGGAUCCAAGGAGGUGCCGGACCCGGCGGGGCGGCUGUUUGUGUCGGAAGACCUCCGUUCCAGCGCCCUGUGGCUCGCCAUGCCUCGGCUCGGGGACGCGGCGGUGUAUUACUGCGUCUUGGGCACACGGAGGGAGAAGCCGGGGCUGCGGCUGAGCACAAACCGCUUUGGGCGUAGCGGGGACACAGUGCCGUCGGGGCCCGCAGGGGGCGCUGCCUGCAGGGCCGCCAAACCCCAUCCUGACCAGAGUGCACCUCCCCGAGUUCUCGAGAGAAAUGAGCGUGGCACCCGUAGCAGUCACUGCCUGAGACCAGUGUCAGUCAAACACAUCUUGUUUAAGGUCAGCAUGACAGCGUAA